AUAUUAGUCUUCAUCAAAAUUAAAAAAUUUUGCUCUGUUAAGGACAUGGUCAAAAGAAUGAAAAAAAUAAGCCAUAGACUAAGAGGAAAUACUGCAAAUUACAUAUCUUACAAAGGUUUUCUAUCGGUAUACGUAAAGAACUCUCAAAACUCAAUAAAAGAUGACAACAACAGUUACAAAUGGGUAAGGGGCUUGAACAGAUGCUUCACCAAAAAGGAUUUAAGUAUGGCAAAUAAGCACAUGAAAAGGUAUUCAACAUUAUUAGCUAUUAGGGAAAUGCAAAUUAAAACCAUGAUUCAAUACUGCUUCAUACCUACUAGAAUAACUAAAAUAAAAAUACUAAUAAUACCAAGUGCUGACCAGGACAUAGAACAACUAAAACUCUCAUACAUUGCUGGCAUAAAUGCAAAAUGAUAUAACUACUUUGGAAAGUGGUUUCGCAGUUUUCUAUAAAGUUAACGUAUGCUUACUAGUGAUCCAACUCUCUCACUCCUGAAUGUUCAUCCCAGAGAAAUAAAAAUUUAUGGUCCCACAAAAAGCUGAAUAUGAAAGUUCAUAGCAGCUUUACUGGUAAAACCAUCUAAAUGUUCUGUUGCUUAACAGGUGAAUGGUUAAACAAAUUGUGGUACAUUCCUACAAUGAAAUACUACUCAGCAAUAAGAAGGAAUAGACUGUUGAUACAUUCAACAAGUUGGGUGAAUCUCAAAGACACUAUGCUGAGUAAAAGAAGCCAUCUCAAAAGGUUAUUUAUUCUAUAAUCCCAUUCACAUGACGUUCUUGAAAAGAUAGAGAACAGAUCUGUGGUUGCCAGGGGUUGGAGGAGGGGAUAGUUGUGAUUAUAGAAUGACAGCAUGGAGGACAUUUUGGGGUGUUAUGCAUGUGUGCUUUUUAUAGUAGUAAUUACAUGUAUCUACAUGUUUUGAAAUUCACAGAGCUGCAUACCAAAAGGAACAAAAGCACAAAACAAACAAACAAGCAAAUGGUGGUGGAAACUAUUUUUAAAACUUCCCUGUUUUCAGAGCUCAAACUAGUCCUGCUGAAAAUAUUUUUUAAAAUAUGAAAGCAUAGGGGAAAAUUUGUAUAAAAAAGAAGAAGAGGAAGAAGAAGAAGAAGAAGAAGAAGAAGAAGAAGAAAUGGCAGAGACAAUGUAUGUCUCAGAAAGCCUAAAAAGUGUACAUUUGUCCGUUUUUAGAAAAAGUAUGCCAAUCCCUACUCUGUUCCCAAUUUGAAAAACAAAUAAAUAAAAAGAAAAACAAGCAAGUCUCUCAGCCAAGAAGGAAUUGAUGGGAACUUUUUCAACCUUAUAAAGUGGAUCUACAAAAAACUACAACUGAUUACAGAUUUAUCAGUAUUCAGAUGUGGAAAAAUCAAUCAUUUACAAAAAGAACACCAGUGUUAGAUGAAAAGCUGCAGAGCCACUUCUGUGGAAAAGAAGUAGAGAUUCUUGCCUGAGUGUUCUCUGUCUUGUUUCUUAAUUGGAGUCUUCAUAAACACUAACAUCACACCUAGUGGUGAAAGUCUGAAUGUUUUACCUCUAAGACUAGGAAAGGGUGGCAUGGAUGUCCACUCUCCCCACUCUAUUCAGCAUUGUAUCAAAAGAUCUUGUCAGUGAAGUAAGAUAAGAAAACAAUAAAUGGCAUCCAUGUUGGAAAAGAAGUAACACCAUCUUUAUUUGCAGAUGACAUUAUAAUCUAAAUAGAAAAUCCUAUGGAACCUACCAAAAAGCUAAUAGAACCAAUAAGCUAGUUUAGCAUAGUUACAAGACACAACAUAUAAAAAUUAAUUAGAUUUCAAAAUAGUAGCAAUGAACAAUUAAACUUUCCUUUUAAAAUUUUCAACAACAUCAAGACAUGAACCACUGGGGGAUAAAUCCCAUGAAACAUGGCAGAAAAAAAAUUAAAGAAGAUCCAAAUAAAUUUAGAUAUAUACUCUGUUCAUGAAUUAUAGGAAUAAAUAUUAUUGAAAUAUUAAUUUUACCUAAAUUGAUGCACAGAUUUAAGGCAAUACAACCGAAAUCCGAGCAGACUCUCUUUUGGACAACUUGAAACUGCUCAUACAUUUUAAUGGAAAUGUGAAUGGCCUAGAAUAGCCAAAACAUCUUUUAAAAAAAGACAAAGUUAGAGGACAUAUACUACCUGUUUAAAAGCAUAAAGGCAAACAAGGAGAGGUAAUGGCCCUCGUUGUAUUUUUUGAUGGUGAAGAUAAAUUGAAAUAUGUUUUUCAGCUCUCAUAUUGCAUUUUUAGACACACACAGCAAACGGUGGGUGAUGUUUGUAAAUAUACUAUUUGAGAAAAUGUCAAAGUAACUGGGAGUAUUUAGCCUGGGGAGAAAAGGAGGGGUUUGUUAAGGAGGCCAGAUUACUAUGUCAAAGAAUAUGAAGGGCUGUUGUAAUAGGAGAGGUAUUUGAGCUAUUCUGUGUAGCUUCUGAAGGAAGAGCCUGAACAUACAGAAGGCAAAGGACGACUUGGCUCAGAAUGAGGAUAAACUUUCUGGAAGCCACCUAUCAUGUAUGAUAUGUUGAAACUAGAUUACUGUUUCUAAAAGUGUAGUCUGAGGUCUAUUUGCAUCAUAAUCUUAGAAAGAUGGUUUAAAAUUUAGAUUCCUGGGUCAUAACAUGAACCAUUAAUCUUAAUCUCUGGACCAGGUAUCUGCACUUUAAAAACCUUUGCAGACGAGUUGUGUAUUUAUUAAAUUUGGAAAUUGCUGGUUGAGAUGACUGACAGGGAUUCUUUUGAAUUCAAAGAAGCUCUAUUUCUCCUUUUCCUUUUCUAAAGGUCUCCUUUAAUUCAUUUUGUUGGGUAAAUAUGACAGUCUUUCUAUAGUUUGCAUUUAAUUCUGUGUUCCAAACAACUUCAUGGCAAAUUAAAACUUCAUAGCACAAACUUUGGGAAAUGUU